CUAUGGGCUAGAAAUAAAAUAUAGCGAGAUGGUCGUGCAUUCAUAGGAAAAUAGGAUGUACAAGGCAGGAUACUGUCAUCUACACAGCUUUGUGGACCUGAAUAUUCGAGUAUCUUGGAUGCGGCACCAAGACACAUUAAACUACACUUCUCAAAUUGUAUCUGCCGUGAAGUAGUUGAUGCAAGCUGGGCAGAGGUGGCACAUACUGUGAUGAAUAGUGGUGCUGCUCAAGUGGCGCACUUUCGGCACCGCCCCAGCAACUCUGAUUUCAGUGCCACUGAGGACGUGGACAACCACGAACAAGGGACGAGCAACUCCAAAAUAAGUGGCAGUUUCACCACCUGCAACAACACCACAGCGAGUUGAUGUGGGGAGAAAGAGAGCAGGGAGACAUGUGCAGCUCGCUGGAGGGUGACAACCACAUCGGCUCGCUGGAGAGAAAGAGAGCAGGGAGACAUGUGCUAGGCGUCACCUCUACGCCAUGUGCCCCUGCUCGGGGCUUCCCUGGUCCAAGAGCUGAGAGGCGUGCGAGCACCUAGCUGAGGACCCAAGGCCAUGGCUGCUAUUGGCUUUCUUCAACCAGCUGGCUCUUCCAUAGAGAGUUGCCAGGUGCUGAUGGGAAUAUUGCACCAACUGUCGGACGGGUUCCGCAAUGACUGAUGCGGUAGGCUGCUGAUGUUGCUGGAGAGGCCUCCACUACCGACGGUGUUUAGCUGCUCCACGUGUACGACCUAUACUUCCUGGAGCAUGAGUCCAACAUGUAUGCCGUCGAGACUUUGGCUCACCAACGUUGCUCCUUUCGCUUUGACAACUAACCUCCGUCUUUGCUGAUAUAUGGUGGCGGCAAGUUCGCCUCUGGCAGCGAUGUCUCAAUUGGUUAGAAGAUAGCCAAGUAUGAUUAAGGGUGGUGCCGAGCUGGGAAGAGACUGCACAUACUGUGAUGAAGGGUGGUGCUGCGCAACUGGCGCAAUGUCUGUCCUGCUCCGGCAACUCUGAUUUCAUUGCUGCCACUGACGUGGACAA